CGGAACUGCUCCCGAACACGAUGGCGCAUCUCCCCAGUUCAGGAUCCACUCGACACACAAUCACACACAAGCACAGGAUACAGGACGCGAUGUGAAGGAAUGUUACGAUGAGAAAAGCCGAACCGUUGGUGAGUUACCGUUUGCCGGUUUCGGGUUCCACUCCACAACCAUCUGUAGAGCGAUCGAUGAAUGAACAUAAAUAUAGAAUACGAUUCGAUAGCUUUGAAAUACAAUUAUUAUUGUUUUUUACAAAAUUUUAAAUUAAUCUUGAACAAUUUCUACGAACAUUUUCUCUUCAUUUUCCAUUUCGUAGGGUAGAAAAAGUAAACAGAAACAAACAGAAAAACACUUUCAAACUGACAGAUGUCAAAUAGGCUGACGUCAUUUGUAUUAUGUUGCGUGCAGUGAUUUCUAGUAGGAAGAGAUUAACACGAAUUCCAGGAACGAAGAUUUGUCCUGCAUAACGAAUAGAAGAGAGAAAACUCACGUUGUAUUUCGGCAAUCAUUAAAGAUGGCAUUCUAUGUGAUUAACACGAUUAAGACAAGAAUAGUUGCUAAUAUUCUCCCAAGCGGUGGACGACUAUUAAACCAUCGUAUCAACGGCGCACAUCAGCCAGUUCGAUCCGCCGGUAAAUGGUUCCCGGAUGAGCAGUUUAUCGAGCAGUUCAAGGGUCCAGUCAUGUACCCGGACGCGGUGACAUCCCGCUGGAAGCUGCCACCAUGGAAUAGCAAGAUCGCUCCGAUCGAGUGGACGGUACGAAAUCUGAAACUCAACUUUGGACCACAACAUCCAGCUGCGCACGGUGUACUACGGCUGGUGCUGGAACUGGACGGUGAGACGGUGAUGCGGGCAGAUCCACACGUCGGUCUACUACACCGUGGGACGGAAAAGCUGAUCGAGUACAAAACGUACACCCAGGCGCUGCCCUACUUCGACCGGCUCGAUUACGUUUCGAUGAUGUGCAACGAGCAGUGUUACUCGCUCGCCGUAGAAAAGCUACUAAACAUCGACAUUCCACUACGGGCAAAGUACAUUCGCGUACUGUUCGCAGAAAUUACCCGCAUCCUAAAUCACAUCAUGGCGAUCGGUACUCAUGCAUUGGACGUAGGCGCACUGACACCGUUCUUCUGGCUGUUCGAGGAACGCGAAAAGAUGAUGGAGUUCUACGAACGUGUGUCCGGUGCACGCAUGCACGCUGCCUACGUUCGACCUGGUGGCGUUGCGCAGGACCUUCCGCUCGGACUGCUGGACGAUAUCUACGAGUUUGCAUCCAAGUUUGCGGAACGAUUGGAUGAGGUAGAGGAUGUGCUGACUACCAACCGUAUUUGGGUGCAGCGUACGGUUAACAUUGGUGUGGUAUCAGCGGCUGAUGCCAUAAACUACGGUUUCAGCGGUGUCAUGCUGCGUGGUUCCGGUAUCAAGUGGGACUUGCGUAAAACCCAACCGUACGAUGCGUACGAUCGGGUCGAGUUCGAUGUACCGAUCGGUACGAAGGGUGAUUGCUACGAUCGCUAUCUGUGCCGCAUCGAGGAGAUGCGACAGUCUCUGCGUAUCAUCGACCAAUGCGUGAACCAGAUGCCAGCCGGUGAGAUUAAGACGGACGACGCUAAAAUAAGUGCACCAUCGCGGCUUGAGAUGAAACAAUCGAUGGAAGCUCUUAUUCACCAUUUCAAGCUUUUCACGCAAGGCUACCAGGUACCGCCCGGUUCCACCUACACCGCCGUUGAAGCACCAAAAGGUGAAUUCGGUGUGUAUCUGGUAUCGGAUGGUUCCAGCCAACCGUAUCGCUGUAAGAUAAAGGCACCCGGGUUUGCACAUCUGGCCGCACUGGACAAGAUCGGCCGUCAUCACAUGCUGGCGGAUGUGGUGGCUAUUAUUGGAACGCUUGAUGUCGUGUUUGGGGAAAUCGAUCGCUAAGCUUCAAACUAAAUUUCUGUUCAAAUAAGCUCCUGAAGUUGGGAGCUAUAUUUCUUGACUAUAAUCAAUAAAUCGAAACAAACUUAAGGUUCAUCCGUUUAAAGCACUCACGAAGGGAAAAGCCGAUGGAAAAGCCGAGAGAAGGAAAACAGAGAGCAUUCGACCAUCUCAGCUGUUUCGGUGAGAGUUUGGAAAAUCCUUUUCCAGGCUACCUCAACACCACCGAACGGGUAGCUUUGAAUUGCCAGAUUGCCACGUGAGAAAGUGUGAGAGAUGCGGGAGUUUAUCAGCCCCAAACAACAUUGCCUCUUGCUGGUGUAGAUGAACAAUCAACGAGCAAGAAGGAGAGCGAUUAAAUGUUGUGUGUAUCCUUCGCAAAUUCUCUCUCCCAAUCCCUAUGACUGCUAUUUUGUUCGUUGGUUUAUUUUGCCGGCCGGUGUCGUCUGACGUGCCGCCAUUACGACAGGCACAUAACGUGUAGUACAUAAGCCGUUCCGUACAUGCCUUUUUGCCGCAACAGAUUCCGUACCUGUUGUUGUUGUUAUCCUGCCGGUGUCGCCGGGUUGUGCUGCUGGUUGUAGGCAAUGGGCACGAAUAAAACAGCCGUGAUUUGGUGAAUCGUGAUUUCGGUGAUUAAAUUUACGGAAUCGACCUCCGCUGGAUUUUGUUGCGCGGUAAAAAUGAAACAUUUUGCUUACUCUUUGUACCGGCUUUGUUUAGUUAUUACUCUAUUUGUUUAGCAGAAAUAAACAUUACUAAGGUAAAUAUGGUACUUCACAAGGCAUAAAAUUCCAAUGCAGUGUUUGGCAAACAUACAUUCAUUUUUGGAUUAACAAAAAAAAAUACAUCAACACUCUAUACAAAAAAAGGUUCUCUAUUGGCGUUGUAGCGCUGCCUAUACUCAUUGAUAUGUGUUAAAAAAACGUUUUUAUAAAGCUUG